GGAAUAUUGCACAAUGGGCGAAAGCCUGAUGCAGCGACGCCGCGUGAGGGAUGACGGCCUUCGGGUUGUAAACCUCUUUCAGUAGGGAACAAGGCCAGUGUUUAGCUGGUUGAGGGUACUUGCAGAAGAAGCGCCGGCUAACUACGUGCCAGCAGCCGCGGUAAUACGUAGGGCGCAAGCGUUAUCCGGAAUUAUUGGGCGUAAAGAGCUCGUAGGCGGUUUGUCGCGUCUGCCGUGAAAGUCCGGGGCUCAACUCCGGAUCUGCGGUGGGUACGGGCAGACUAGAGUGAUGUAGGGGAGACUGGAAUUCCUGGUGUAGCGGUGAAAUGCGCAGAUAUCAGGAGGAACACCGAUGGCGAAGGCAGGUCUCUGGGCAUUAACUGACGCUGAGGAGCGAAAGCAUGGGGAGCGAACAGGAUUAGAUACCCCAG
rnacentral:rRNA from 1 species